rnacentral:rRNA from 1 species
GAUGAACGCUGGCGGUAUGCUUAACACAUGCAAGUCGAACGGUCACUUCGGUGAUAGUGGCGGACGGGUGAGUAACGCGUGAGAAUCUGUCUUCAGGUCGGGGACAACAGUUAGAAAUGACUGCUAAUACCGGAUGUGCCUUUGGGUGAAAGAUUUAUUGCCUGAAAAAGAGCUCGCGUCAGAUUAGCUAGUAGGUGGUGUAAGAGACUACCUAGGCUCCGAUCUGUAGCUGGUCUGAGAGGACGAUCAGCCACACUGGAACUGAGACACGGUCCAGACUCCUACGGGAAGCGGCAGUGGGGAAUUUUCCGCAAUGGGCGAAAGCCUGACGGAGCAAUACCGCGUGAGGGACGAAGGCUGUUGAGUCGUAAACCUCUUUUCUCAAGGAAGAUGAUGACGGUACUUGAGGAAUAAGCAUCGGCUAACUCUGUG